rnacentral:rRNA from 1 species
AGAGUUUGAUCCUGGCUCAGAAUGAACGCUGGCGGCGUGCUUAACACAUGCAAGUCGAACGAGAAAGCCCCUUCGGGGGUGAGUAGAGUGGCGAACGGGUGAGUAACGCGUAAGAAUUUUCCCUUCAGUGAAGAAUACCCUCGAGAAAUCGAGGCUAAUACUGCAUACGUCUUUUCGGAGAGAAAGGUGGCCUCUUGCUGCCGCUGAAGGAUAAGCUUGCGUACUAUUAGUUUGUUGGUGAGGUAAUGGCUCACCAAGACUAUGAUGGUUAGCCGGCCUGAGAGGGUGACCGGCCACAUUGGGACUGAGAUACGGCCCAGACUCCUACGGGAGGCAGCAGUGGGGAAUAUUGCACAAUGGGCGAAAGCCUGAUGCAGCGACGCCGCGUGGAGGAUGAUGGUCUUCGGAUUGUAAACUCCUGUUAAGAGGGAAGAAAGAAUUGUGGUUAAUACCCACAGUAGAUGACGGUACCUCUAAAGAAAGCUCCGGCUAACUUCGUGCCAGCAGCCGCGGUAAUACGAAGGGAGCAAGCGUUAUUCGGAAUUACUGGGCGUAAAGGGCGCGUAGGCGGUUUGUUAAGUCAGUUGUUAAAUCCCGUGGCUUACCCAUGGAUUCGCAAUUGAUACUGACAAACUAGAGGGCAAGAGAGAGGAGUGGAAUUCUCGGAGUAGCGGUAAAAUGCGUAGAUCUCGAGAGGAACACCGACGGCGAAGGCAGCUCUUUGGCUUGUCCCUGACGCUGAGGCGCGAAAGCGUGGGGAGCAAACAGGAUUAGAUACCCUGGUAGUCCACGCCGUAAACGAUGAUCACUAGAUGUUGGUUUCGCAUAGCGAGAUCAGUGUUAAAGCUAACGCGUUAAGUGAUCCGCCUGGGGAGUACGGUCGCAAGAUUAAAACUCAAAGGAAUUGACGGGGGUCCGCACAAGCGGUGGAACAUGUGGUUUAAUUCGACACAACGCGAGGAACCUUACCUAGACUUGACAUGUAUGCGACCGCUGUAGAAAUACAGUUUUUUUGGUUUACCAAGACGCAUACACAGGUGCUGCAUGGCUGUCGUCAGCUCGUGUCGUGAGAUGUUGGGUUAAGUCCUUUAACGAGCGCAACCCCUACCGUUAGUUGCUAGCCUUUGGGCGCACUCUAGCGGAACUGCCUUGGAAACAAGGAGGAAGGUGGGGAUGACGUCAAGUCCUCAUGGCCCUUAUGUCUAGGGCUACACACGUGUUACAAUGGCGAGUACAGCGGGGAGCGAAGCCGCGAGGUGGAGCAAAUCCUUGAAAGCUCGUCUAAGUUCGGAUUGGAGUCUGCAAUUCGACUCCAUGAAGUUGAAAUCGCUAGUAAUCGCGUAUCAGAACGACGCGGUGAAUACGUUCUCGGACCUUGUACACACCGCCCGUCACACCACGAAAGUCGUCUAUACCCGAAGUCAUCUUAGCUAACCUUUUUUAAGGAGGCGGGUGCCGAAGGUGUGGGUGGUGAUUGGGGUGAAGUCGUAACAAGGUA